CAAAGUUUUAUUAAAUAAUUCCAAUAUACAAUACGCCUCAUGAUUAUGAGGGAAUAGGUGGCACAGAGGAACAGUUCUCACAGAACACAGCGUCCAGCUGAAGGACAGUUCCGCCCGGACGGUUUCUGUCCGGACGGACUCACGGGUCACACAAGUUCUGAUCAACUCUGAAAACAUGAUCACAACCAUCUGAUAUCUGAGGUGGAGGUCUGACACAUGACCUGAAGGUCAAACUGAAGUUGUCAGAGUCAUUAGUAAAAGAAGAAGAAGAAGAAGAAGGAGAAGAAGAGACUCACCGAGCGGGUCGAGCGUCGCUUCUUCGAGCCGCGCAGGAACAUGACGUCGAUGAGACGAGAGGACAGUGUCCAGGUGUAAACGACAUCCUGGGAUUGAGAAGCUAACUCGACGAAAUUCCAACUUUACCUCCCGUCUUGUUCCCAGACCCGGACCUGGACCGGACCCGGACCUGGACCGGACCUGGACCUGGACCUGGAGCGGACCUGGACCGGACCGGACCCGGACCUGGACCUGGACCUGGACCUGGACCGGACCUGGACCUGGACCGGACCUGGACCUGGACCUGGACCGGACCUUGACCUGGACCUGGACCUGGACACGGACCGGACCUGGACACGGACCUGGAAAUAGACCAGGACCUGGACUGGACCUGGACCUGGACUGGACCGGUCCUGGACCGGACAUGGACACGGACCGGACCUGGACACGGACCUGGAAAUAGACCAGGACCUGGACUGGACCUGGACCUGGACCUGGACUGGACCUGGACUGGACCUGGACCGGACCCGGACCGGAGCUGGACUGGACCUGGACCGGACCCGGACUGGACCUGGACCUGGACCUGGACCUGGACCGGACCGGUCCUGGACUCGACCUGGAAAUAGACCAGGACCUGGACUGGACCUGGACCGGACCCACACCCGGACCUGGACCAAGACCACGACCAAGACCAAGACCAGGACCUGGAUCUGGAUCUGGACCGGACCCGGACCUGGACCAAGACCAAGACCAAGACCAAGACCAGGACCUGGAUCUGGACCUGGACCGGACCCAGACCCGGACCCGGACCGGUGAUUAAUGAGACCGCAGCUGCUCAGUUCAGACGUGUAAGUCUGCUGCCCUCUAGUGGCCAUCUGAUAGAAGACACUCAGCCCAAGUGUAGAAACAAGCGACACAUGAAGUUAUUAUAGUGAAGAUGGAUCGUGAUUUAUGAGAUUCAGAUUAUAAUUUGGAAUUAAAGACACAUUUUCUUCACUGUGA